GACAGAGGGGGCAAGCGUUGCUCGGAAUUACUGGGCGUAAAGGGCGCGUAGGCGGGCAUCCAAGUCUGUGGUGAAAUCCGGCAGCUUAACUGUCGAACUGCCGUGGAUACUGGGUGUCUCGAGGGAGGUAGGGGCGUGCGGAACUAUUGGUGGAGCGGUGAAAUGCGUAGAGCUCGGGAAGAACAUCGGUGGCGAAAGCGCUCUACUGGACUGCAACUGACACUCAGGGACGAAAGCUAGGGGAGCGAAUGGG
rnacentral:rRNA from 1 species